GCACACGAGCUCAAUUGGGAGAGCGUCAGACUAUGGUUCUGAAGGUUGGGGGUUCGAGUCCCCCGUAUGCGCCA
rnacentral:tRNA from 1 species